ncrna:unclassified sequences TwoGGAY RNA
CUUGAAAGCUGAUUGUGCUGUUUCUUAUACUUUCCCUCUAUAUACAGAUAGGCGGGUACAAGGAUGUACCCGCCAGUGAGGCCGUGCCAAGGAGGGCACGUCCGAACGAUAUUGUCCGGUAACAAUACCAAUAAGGAAAGUAUUAGAAACAGCCAAUCUGCUUUCUGG